ACCCACUUCCUAGAUGGACUCCGUGGGCAGGGAAGGGUACAGGGACUGCUAACCCACUCUCUCUGUCUCUGUCUCUCUCAAGGGUGAAGGUAGUAUGAGCCUGGGUAGUUUGGUGGCUCCCACUCCUUACUGCUCUCCGUUCUGAAAAACUCAGAAGCCGCCCUCUCCCUGUCUGGAUCCCCAGACUCGUGCCUGGCCCUUCCAGUCCGGGGUUCUUUGCCAGAACUGUUCCAUUUCUUCUCCAACACCCCUGUCCCAGUGAGUACCACAUUCCCUGGCACCCUCGUGGCUUUGUACAAGCCAGUCCCUCAGCCUGGAACACCCUUCCGUCCCUUCUACCACGCAUUGCUCAGGGGUUUUCUUUUUCCGGAAGUCUUCCUUGACUUGCCCAAGCUGCGUGUGCCUGGGAUGCAAGGAGAGCAUGUCGGAGAAACAAUUAUGUCAUCACAACAUUAGCUGACACUCAGAGCAGACCACGCCAGGCAUUGUUCUAGGAGCUGUACAUGUACUAACACAUUUAAUCAUCACAGCAACCCUAUAAGGCAAGGAUUAGCAUGGUCUCCAUUCCACAGACGAGGAGACUGAGGCACACAGAGGUUGAGUAGCUUGCCUGAGGUCACAGGACUAACGAAGGGGAAAGCUGGGAUUUAACCCCUGCGGCAAAGCUCCGGGCUGGCUCACAACCCAGCCACAGCACUUCUACAGGACACUUUCCUGAUGGUUCCUCUACUGGACUCUGAGCUUCAUGAGGGCUCUGCAAACAGUAGGUGCUCCAUAAAUGCUGAGGAUGAUGAUGUUGUGAAUUGGUGAACACAUUCUAGCUGGAGUAGUUCUACCUCCACACCUGUCCAGUAGAAGACCUUCUGCAAGAUCAUAGAAUCAAGAGGAAGAGGGGGAAGAGAACCAUUUUCCAGUGGCUACCAUGUACCAGGCACUGUGCAAACAUCUAGCUGAAGCCUUGAAAUGGCCUGAGAUAGGAAUAAUAUUAUCUCUACCUGACAGAUCAUACACAGGUAAGUGAAGAAACCACCAUUUCAGCCCAAGUUUUUCCUACUCCACCAUUGUGACCAUGUCCCCAAAGUAGCUUCAUAUGUAGAAAAGUAACAGGAACACACACAUUAUAUAGUUUCAAUGUUUCAAAGCCCAGGUUCUUAGGAAUCCCAGGGGCAAAUAACAACAUUUAAAUAUUCUUAUGGGGGCGCCUGCGUGGCUCAGUCAGUUAAGCGUCAGACUUCAGCUCAGGUCAUGAUCUCGUGGUUCGUGAGUUCGAGCC